UCGAUCAGGAGACAAGCUCCAUGGGAGCUAACCCUAAACUCAACAAAACCUUCAAAUUGGAGGAUCAAUCGAAGGCCAAAUUCGGAUUUGAAUACAUAGAAACGAUCACCAAGUCAAGGGGAUCGUAAGUUUGACUCUUGACAAGCUAGAUGGAGGCUUGGGGAAAGAAGCGGGUCAAACAGAUCGUAUACGCGGAAAAGAGCAUAACCCGGAUACAAGGUGAAGAUGGACCUAAUCCGGAUGAAGAUCAAGCGGCGAGCAAGAACCGAACACACGUUAAAUGAAGCUUCCGCGUCAAAUCUUGAUUUGUGUUGUUAUAAGUGAAUUAUGUAAACACUUAUAAAUUGUUUUUGAAAUGUUGUAAACAUUUGGGAAUGUUGGUAUAACAAGUUUUUGUAAAGUCACAUUUUAGCAUAAAAAUGUGUAUCU